UGGUCUUCGCAUCUCAUAGGGUUCAUGGAAAUCUCCUAGAUCACAUAUGAUGGGAUUUGGAUCUGCAUUUAGUGGAAUCUGUGCAAGAUUAUCAGAUUUCGUUGACAUAUGAGGAUAACAAAAGUGAUUUCUGUAAGCAAUGAAAACAAGAUUGUAGUGAGGUCUCGAUCGUCCAGCGGAGAACAACGCAGAGAACAAUCUAGCCAAUUCUAAUAACAUCGCCACUCCAGAUGCAUUACUGUCUGCUCCAAAAGAUAAUUCCUAUAUAUGAGUACAAAAUGUAAAUCUUAUAUAGCUAUUUUAUAAUAAUAAAAAAAAUGAUUUUAGAUGAUUUUA